rnacentral:rRNA from 1 species
UACGUAGGGAGCGAGCGUUGUCCGGAUUCAUUGGGCGUAAAGAGCUCGUAGGCGGCUUGGCAAGUCGGGUGUGGAAACUCCAGGCUCAACCUGGAGACGCCACCCGAUACUGCCAUGGCUAGAGUCCGGUAGGGGACCACGGAAUUCCUGGUGUAGCGGUGAAAUGCGCAGAUAUCAGGAGGAACACCGGUGGCGAAGGCGGUGGUCUGGGCCGAUACUGACGCUGAGGAGCGAAAGCGUGGGGAGCGAACAGG